UGAAGCCCCCGCCGGUGGCGCUCGGAGCUUUCUGCCUUGCUCAGGGCUGCGGGGGAGGAGGAGGAGGUGAGAUGGCAAACGUGCUCGCAGCUAUUUCUGCUGCAGCUUCCUGUCCUUGACCCAGCGAUACAUUGUGAAGUUCUCCUGAGUCAAUGAAUCCUGGUAAAAUGCAGUAAAGGAUUUAAGGUUAUCGUCUGUCUCUCUCUAACUUCUGACAUCUCUUUAUAACAAGAAAGAGUCACAGCCAACUGUAACAGGAGGGCAACACAAUGAAUCCUGUCUAAAUAAGCUGCAGAUCUCAGACCUGGAAGAAUUCAGUGCCUUUGUAGCACUUUCUCUCCAGCUUGCACUGUAGGUGUUUCAUGAGAAUGUGGAGCUGCAUGUCACAGUACCUUUUUUCCAUGGGUUAAAGGAAACUGUUCAAACACUCCCAGCUUGUGCUGGCCAGUCAUUCUCUCUUUGUAAUUAGCAUGAAGACUACCCUUCAGUCAAAACUAGCCACCUGGAAAGUUUCAGCUUGUAAUAUGCAGCUUUUUUUUGUGAAUUAUGAAUGUGCAAAAAAGAGACCUUUCUCCUUACACCCACUUCCUUGCAUAAUUCAAAAUAUGAAUGAAUGAAUUUUAUUCAGGCUUGCCAAAAAAAUUAUAUUUCAGCUGAUAACAAGCAUGAAAAAUUUUAGAUGAAAGGGAUUAAAAAAAAAAAGAAUAUUCUGAGCAUGGGAGAACAGCAGGUUAAGACAGAAGUCUAUAACUAUAACAAUUGCUAUCAAGCAAAUACCAUAUCCAAGCACUAAAUCUUGCUUUGUGCUGCCCUAGUGCGCAGUAGCAGGGACGGAGUAGAAUAAUAAAAGCUGAUCCCCUUAUGCAAACAGCAGGGCACAGCACUUGAGAGAAUACAAGGAGAAGGUGAGCCUGCCUACUGUUCUGGCUUGCUAACCAUAUUCCCAAGGUCUGUGGGUUAGUUGUCUAGCUCCAGUCAGAUAGCAAAAGGUACUUCAAACACUAGCAAAGGGAAUGUUUUGGUCCUUUACAGAAGAACAUUUCACUAAUUCCUUGCCUCCAAAUGUACUGUUCUAUUAAAUAAAGUAUUUGAAGGAAUUCAUAUAAGCAACAUCAUGGUUUAAUGGGUCAAAAAGGGAACAGAAUCAGUGCCAGGUAUUUUUGGGAUUGUGUAUUUUAAGAAUAUAUAUCUGAGAAGAAGGUAUUAUCUGUGCAAAGCAGAAUGAGAUUUGGGCUCAUGCCAGUACCACUUUGAAAAUAAACUAUCACAGUGAAAAAAUGUUACCAUCUGGAACAUUUCUGCAUCAUAUUUUCUCUUGUUCCCAAUAAUGCCUUGGUGAUAAGUCCAUCUCUCCUUUUCUACUCAGAAAACAGGAUGAAAACUCCCAUUCAUUUACUAUGUGUUUUUUAGAAAAAAUGCCCAUUACAGUGGCUAAACAGCAGUGAAUACUAAAGUAUUACCUUGCAGAUUCACAGAUCCACAUUGAUUAGAGGAUCAACAGACAGGAUUUGCAAAUAGGAAGCCUGGGCGUAGAAAUCCCCUUCCAGUCUGAUGUGAGUUGACUGUUGCAAGUUGAGCUUGGCAGAGAGUGACCAAAAUUGAGUUGUCAGCCUCCUCCUGCAUAGUGGAAGAAGUUGUUGCUUUCUUGUGCAGAUGCAAGAGUUUCUGUGGGAAAACAGAACAUAAUCAUGGUUCUGAAUGUCUCUGUGGAUUGGUAAUGUCUCUAAUACAUAGAUCACUUGUGCAAAUUCAGUCCCAGCUGGAUGGGAAAUUAUUGAAAAUGGUUGUUGUUUGAUUGAUAUAAAAUGAGUUGUCAGCUUGAUUCAAUGCCUUCAGGGCAGAUGUCCACAGCAUAAUUGGCACCUGUCAGAAGCAAAGAAUUCCUUGGUACAGAGUAACAGCUACUCAUGCAACCACCCAGAACUGUCCUUGCAUGCCAGGGCUCAAAGAAGAAGGCAGAAAAAAAAUACUUCUGGGCAGGAUCUUUUAUGCCAUAAAGUCAAUGAGAGAUUUGAUGUGACACUUGGUGCAAGCUUUUCCCUGGGAUACUGGCUACUCAUGAUCAGCCUUUCUGCUGUUUGGUCAACACUUUCGCUAAGAAUUAGAAGAAAACUCACAUAUUUGGUUACUUGUUAUUAUUGUCAUGGUGAAGGUGGGUUUAUAAAGACCACUUAAUAAAGAAAUGUUUACAUGUUUGCUUAUAAUAAAAAAAUGCUGUGAAUAAUUUUAUUUUUCUAUUUCUUGAG